rnacentral:rRNA from 1 species
AUUGAACGCUGGCGGCAGGCCUAACACAUGCAAGUCGAGCGAGCGGCGGACGGGUGAGUAAUGUAUGGGGACUGCCCGAUAGAGGGGGAUAACGACUGGAAACGUUGGCUACUAGCGCAUACUAUCGGAUAACCCAUAUGGGAUUAGCUAGUCGGUGGGGUAAAGGCUCACCUAGGCGACGAUCUCUAGCUGGUCUGAGAGGGUUAUCAGCCACACUGGGACUGAGACACGGCCCAGACUCCUACGGAGGCAGCAGUUGGGAAUAUUGGACAAUGGGCGCAAGCCUGAUGCAGCCAUGCCGCGUGUAUGAAGAAGGCCUUAGGGUUGUAAAAUACUUUCAGCUGGGAGGCGUUACCCGCACAGAAAGCAACGGCUAACUACGUGCCAGCAGCCGCGGUAAUUC